rnacentral:rRNA from 1 species
UUGAGUUUGAUCCUGGCUCAGAUUGAACGCUGGCGGCAUGCCUUACACAUGCAAGUCGAACGGUAACGCGGGGCAACCUGGCGACGAGUGGCGAACGGGUGAGUAAUACAUCGGAACGUGCCCAGUAGUGGGGGAUAGCCCGGCGAAAGCCGGAUUAAUACCGCAUACGACCUACGGGUGAAAGCGGGGGAUCGCAAGACCUCGCGCUAUUGGAGCGGCCGAUGUCAGAUUAGCUAGUUGGUGGGGUAAAGGCCUACCAAGGCGACGAUCUGUAGCUGGUCUGAGAGGACGACCAGCCACACUGGGACUGAGACACGGCCCAGACUCCUACGGGAGGCAGCAGUGGGGAAUUUUGGACAAUGGGGGCAACCCUGAUCCAGCCAUGCCGCGUGCGGGAAGAAGGCCUUCGGGUUGUAAACCGCUUUUGUCGGGGAAGAAACGGUCUGCGCUAAUACCGCGGGCUAAUGACGGUACCCGAAGAAUAAGCACCGGCUAACUACGUGCCAGCAGCCGCGGUAAUACGUAGGGUGCAAGCGUUAAUCGGAAUUACUGGGCGUAAAGCGUGCGCAGGCGGCUUUGCAAGACAGAUGUGAAAUCCCCGGGCUCAACCUGGGAACUGCAUUUGUGACUGCAUGGCUGGAGUGCGGCAGAGGGGGAUGGAAUUCCGCGUGUAGCAGUGA